CCUCCUCUCUCCUCUCCCAUCGCAAUUAGUUCUCUCUUCUCUCUCUCUUCCAUUGACCGUGUCUGAAAAUCCAAGAGACGGCAGACAUCUCCGGCGAGAGACAGAGCAUCAACUGAACAAGAAGCGAAUGGGGAAGUACGUGGAGCUGUUGGACGUCGGGGUGAGGCUAGCCGCCCGGUUUCACUCCCACUGCCCGCAGACCGCCCGCCUCUACUACCACCCUCCCUCCAACUCCGACGACUCCCUGUCCCAACACAGUGACUUCCAGCAUAGCAGCGGCGGCAGCAAAACAGCGAUGUCCGGUUCUUGCAGCCCCAGCCCGGCCUCGAUGAGAAUCGACGUUUCCGAGAUCAUCUUCUGCUCCGUCGUUUGAAACGGCAGGCAAUGGAAAAAAAACCGAUAAGAAAUAGAGAGAGAGAGAGAGAAUGGACCAAAGCGUGAUUCUUUAAUGUACGGAUGAUUCUUGAUGUAAGUUGAGACGAAAAAAUGAUUACACGUUCUUUGCAGAGAAGCUAAAGUUCGCACAUUCUUAUUCCCGAAGCCUUCGAGUUCGAGUAUCUCGAAAAAUUCCAAUGCUGAAUAUACUAUUUGAUCGCAAUGCGUGAGCUCCGGCUGAAUGUGGCAAACAACCAUCUAUCGACCAUCGGUGUCCAGCGCUGGUUGCUGCUAUCUGGUGUUUAUUAUGUCGAAGCUAUCUCGACAGUCUUCACCUCAUUAUCGCGAUCUCGAAGCUCUUAGGCAGGAGGAACCAAUGUCUUGUUAAAGCCUAGCUGCCGAGCCGUCCAUAUAAACAUACUUCGGCUAGUCGCCAAAACAGAAGACAGGACUGCUUUUACAGGGGAAAGAACAUAGCUGUCAAUAUAAGCAAGAUCUUCUCGACUCAAAAGUGAUGCCAGAGUUAUCAUCGGUGUUAGAACCGUGCUUCGUGGAUUUGGCGCCACGAGUUUGCUUGGAGCAAACUACUAUACAAAAGACACUAUACAGGAACCUUUUGGCGGAGUUGCUCCUCCUGUAAAGAAGAGGGUCACAUAGAAAUCUCGGGGCUGCGAUUUCUACUCAUCCACUAUAUGCUGCGGUCUUGGAGGUUUGUAUUCGGCGUGAAACACCCGUAGAGAGGUCAAGAUCUUUUGAAGCUGAGUGUGUCAUCAAUUCUCCUCAAAUUGGGUCCAACUAUUUCGCUCCUUUCUACUGCAAAUUCCGAAGUGUAUGAGCUCCCAUAGACUCGUGUGCUAAGCAUCUUCUUCUUUGGUGACCCGAAUUUUAUGUGCUUGUCAAAGAAAUCUAUGAGUUCUUACCGGGUGAGCUGCCUCAGUGCCGAAACCUGUUUUGAUAACCACUAAGCUGCAGGUUAAACUGUUCGGGUUUUAUCCAACAGCAGAAAAAGAGGAAGUCAUGAUCAGGCAUGUAUUUCGAACCUCAGACUUGACUCGAUAAAACUUGAAAGAUCUCUGCCCAAUAAAAAUGGCAUUCCUCCCGCAAAUUCUGGAACUUCUCGAGCUUAGCCAUGAUCAAGUCAUUCACCUUGCCCUGCAUAUAAAUUGAUCACUGGCACUCAAUCCAUGUAUGAAACAGACUUGGAGUACUUAUACGGCAUUACUAUGAACCCUCAUCCUCUCCUGUCCCAAAAACCUCACCUCAAACUCAUCAUUCUUCAUCUCGUAAAAGUUUGCGCUCGAACAGCCUGAGGAAUUCCUCAGCUCUUGCAUCGACUUGCUUGGGGUCCUGAUAAGACUGACAGGGGUACAUAGACGAGGCGAGACAAGGCAAGGGAAUACACCAAAAUCAAAAACCAAGGAUAAAUUUCUGAAGAGGAAAAGAACAGAUUGUGGUGGCCAGCAGAAGAACCCAAUGAAACACUCCAAGAAUGCCCUUGAGAUCAUGGUAGGCGUGAAGUUCGAAACAUCUUCAGGCUCAAGCUGCAUAAGAAUUUCUAGCUCCUCUGUCAAUGGCCACGAAUGUUCAGUCAACAUAGAUGAACAAUAGUACAGGGCCUGCUCGCCUGGUUCCUCAAAUUUGAAGUUUUGGUAGUUUUUUUUAUUAAGCUUUCCUGAGAGAGAAAACUAGAACUCAUCAUUUUGAGGUCUAACGAGUCCUUCAGCUAUAUUUCUUCGGUAAUUUAGUAAACAUAUAUUAGUACCUUGAUUACAGAGAACCUGUCAGGUUUCACUUCGAACUUCACAAUGUGCUCCAAAACAGCUUCUAGCAAGAUUCUCAGUUUGUGAUUUUAGCUGCCGACUGAAACCUGUGCAAAGAGACCACUGAAUAAAAGACGGCGGACAGCAUCAAGUUGAUGAAGCUCUAUUAA